rnacentral:sRNA from 2 species
ACCUAGCCCCGAUUGCAAUGGAAAUCCCGCAGUGACGACGUAGGAGGAGCGAGGAAUUGGAAUGGAAAGCGGGACCGAAU